rnacentral:rRNA from 1 species
UACAGAGGGGGCAAGCGUUGUUCGGAAUUACUGGGCGUAAAGGGCGCGUAGGCGGCCUGCUAAGUCGAACGUGAAAUCCCUGGGCUCAACCCAGGAACUGCGUCCGAUACUGGUUGGCUUGAAUCCGGGAGAGGGACGUGGAAUUCCAGGUGUAGCGGUGAAAUGCGUAGAUAUCUGGAGGAACACCGGUGGCGAAGGCGGGUCUCUGGGCCGAUACUGACGCUGAGGAGCGAAAGCGUGGGGAGCGAACAGG